ACUUCGUAUAAAACCACAGAAAGCUGGUUUCUCAGGAAGCCUCUCCUUGAGUCUGGCUAGGAGAGCACAGGGCUCCCUUUUCUGCCUGGGAACUUGUCCCAGAGGACAAGCAAGGUGGGAAAUGUUUAGGAGACUCUGGUCUUCUGAGUGCUGCUUCCCUGACAGACUCUUACCUUGGGGAGCCUGUUGGGUGGUGGUGGGUAGGGCUCGGAAACUCCGAGGACUGGUGGCUGGCUCUGACUCGUCUGUGGAGAGCCCACUGUCAGCUUCAACCUCCAGGGAGCCAAUGGUCUUCUCCAGGAAGAGCAGACACUCCUUUUCUUCAGCAGACAGGAAGUCGUAGCUGCUGUCACUCUGUUGGGAGAAGCAGCUAUGAGAUGACCCAAUGGAGCGUGACUACUCUAACUGAUAUCUUCCAGUCAGAAACAGGAUGAUGUCUCUGUGUCCCCAGUCU
rnacentral:lncRNA from 1 species